rnacentral:rRNA from 1 species
AGCAGUCGCCACGGGAAUACGUAGGUGGCAAGCGUUGUCCGGAAUUAUUGGGCGUAAAGCGCGCGCAGGCGGAUAGGUCAGUCUGUCUUAAAAGUUCGGGGCUUAACCCCGUGAUGGGAUGGAAACUGCCAAUCUAGAGUAUCGGAGAGGAAAGUGGAAUUCCUAGUGUAGCGGUGAAAUGCGUAGAUAUUAGGAAGAACACCAGUGGCGAAGGCGACUUUCUGGACGAAAACUGACGCUGAGGCGCGAAAGCCAGGGGAGCGAACGGGAUUAGAUACCCCUGUAGUCCCUGUCUCUUAUACA